rnacentral:lncRNA from 1 species
GGGGAUUAACUCCAGGGCCGCGGUAACAAAGGGCCCGUCGCACGGGAAAGGCGGUGUGAAUGGAAGGGCUGGGGCGGGUAACAAAGCAGGUUUCCAAGCCAUCCCCUGCCUGCAAGGAAAGCACUUUUUGAGGGGGACAGGGGUUGGUCCGUGAGUAAGGGCACGGGAGUUGAUGGUCAAUGAGCCAUCUCUGAACAUAUUUAGCUCCUUUAGAAGAAUAUCGAUUUAGGCACCUGCGGGUUUGAGCGUUUGUCUUUUCAGAUUGUUGACCUAGAAUAGCUACAAAAGUCGGGGCACCAAUAUGUAAGGCCUAGUGCUCGAGGGAGGAGAUCCAGAGUUUAGACCUCAGGCCCAUCUGCUCAGAAGAGGGGUUGAGGGUUGCUAAGGCAGAACAGUUGCCCUUGCCUGGGGCGGGGCGAUUAUCCUCCAGAGCAAACCCUACAGCCUGUUAAAAAUAGAUACUCCAGUUCCUGGUGACUCCCCAAAUACAUUGUUUCAAUAGAUCCAUGCAAAUCUAGGAACCCAUUAAAAGCACUGGCUUUUAACACUAAAAGAAGGCCACACACUUCAAUGCAUAAACAGAUAAAUGCCAAAUUUAUCAAGAGGCAUGGCCCCACUCCAUUAUUCCCUAAAUGCCUGUCUGGCUUACUCAGAGGCUUCAAAGAAACAGAAGAGGAUGGAUGUAGGGGUAAUAUACUCACAUUUUCCAUUUGCUGGAGGAAGUUGAAUGAAUAAGAACCACACAGCACUGAACUUUUACACAAGCUUCUUAUUGUAUUUGAAUGUCAUUUAUUGAGGAGUGAAUGAGAUACUGCCAGACAUGCCAAAGACACUUCACAUUCAAGGGCUGGAAGCUGAACAGCUUUUCUCAUUGAGUCACUAAACAAGCCUUUUUUGGAAAACAGUGACAUCAAUGAGGUCUUCAUGCUUGACAUUAGUCUUCAAUUUUUCAUCUUUUGAUCUAGUGGUUUGCUGGGUAGAAGGGCACUUUCUACCCUAAAAAAGACUCACUCCAAUUAAUACAAUUAACACUAGAUGUAUAGAAAUGUUAUCUGCUAUAAUGUACAUUACUGCGGAAUAACUGGUCUUAAAGCUGUUUUUUAAUUCAUUAUAUCUAAUGAGAAAAUUCAACUUGUCUCCUUUUCACCAUCAUACAGGUGGCUUAUACCAUUAGAAAAAUACUCUUCAGUGCUAUUGUAGGGUUUACAGGGAGCUUCUUCAGUGUUGUGGGAUAGAAAUUGAUUUAAACACCACUCUGAAAGAGUGCUUCUUCGUGCUGCCACUGCCUGUAGAUUGCAAAAGAAUGGCCUACACGCUCUACAGUUCUUUUUUGCUCAAAAACAAAACAAAGAAACCUAAACAAUAGGGUAAAUGUUUAUUUGGAGUUAGUUUUCUUG